AAGGGAGAGAGUCCUAGAAAUAAUAAAAGUCAAGAACAAAAGUUCUUGAUCUAGCUCAAUUAUUUUUACCUAAUAUGUUUCACAGUGGAGUUUAAAAGUGGAGUAACCACGGGGCUGGCCC